rnacentral:rRNA from 1 species
UACAGAGGUCUCAAGCGUUGUUCGGAUUCAUUGGGCGUAAAGGGUGCGUAGGCGGCGCGGUAAGUCGGGGGUGAAAUCCCGAGGCUCAACCUCGGAACUGCCUUCGAUACUGCGGGUCUCGAGUCCGGGAGAGGUGAGUGGAAUUCCUAGUGUAGAGGUGAAAUUCGUAGAUAUUAGGAAGAACACCAGUGGCGAAGGCGGCUCACUGGCCCGGUACUGACGCUGAGGCGCGAAAGCGUGGGGAGCAAACAGG